rnacentral:rRNA from 1 species
CUACGGGUUGCUGCAGUAGGGAAUAUUGGACAAUGGGCGAAAGCCUGAUCCAGCAACACCGCGUGCACGAUGACGGCCUUCGGGUUGUAAAGUGCUUUUAGGGGAGAUGAGAAAGGACAGUAUCCUCUGAAUAAGCCUCGGCGAACUACGUGCCAGCAGCCGCGGUAAAACGUAGGAGGCAAGCGUUAUCCGGAUUUAUUGGGCGUAAAGCGCGUGCAGGCGGUCUAGCAAGUUGGAUGUGAAAGCUCCCGGCUCAACUGGGAGAGGUCGUUCAAUACUGUUAGACUAGAGAAUAGGAGAGGGAGGUGGAAUUCCGGGUGUAGUGGUGAAAUGCGUAGAUAUCCGGAGGAACACCAGUGGCGAAAGCGGCCUCCUGGACUAUUUCUGACGCUAAGACGCGAAAGCUAGGGUAGCAAACGGGAUUAGAUACCCUAGUAGUC